GCGGUGGUGGUGGAAGAGGGAGAAGGUCCACCUGAAGAAGAACCACCGGUUGGAGAAGAAGAUCCACCCACCUCACAUGCCCUGCGUGGACCGUCAUGGUUAUCCUCUCUAGGACAAGUGGCAGGCACGGGUGUGGGUGUAGAAGCGAGCUCAGGAGGCACAACAGUCUGCUUCCCUGACCUAAGCGUGAUGGCACUCACGUUCCUAGGAUUCUGCACAGUCUGGGAGGGUAGUUUAUCAGAAUUUUGAGACUGUGCCUGAUUCAACUGAGUAGCCAUCUGACCCAUUUGGUUAGUGAGACUUUGUAUAGAAGCUCUC
rnacentral:lncRNA from 1 species